GACGAACCGUACGAACGUUAUUCGGAAUCACUGGGCUUAAAGGGUGCGUAGGCUGCGCGGAAAGUUGGGUGUGAAAUCCCUCGGCUCAACCGAGGAACUGCGCCCAAAACUGCCGUGCUCGAGGGAGACAGAGGUGAGCGGAACUUAGGGUGGAGCGGUGAAAUGCGUUGAUAUCCUAAGGAACACCGGUGGCGAAAGCGGCUCACUGGGUCUCUUCUGACGCUGAGGCACGAAGGCUAGGGUAGCGAACGGG
rnacentral:rRNA from 1 species